rnacentral:rRNA from 1 species
GAUGAACGCUGGCGGCGUGCUUAACACAUGCAAGUCGAACGGACAGGUCCUGCUUUCAGUGUACUCGCGUGGCGAACGGGCGGGUAACUCGUGGGUGAUUUGCCCUGCUCUUCGGGAUAAGUCUGGGAAACUGGGUCUAAUACCGGCCAGGAGCUAUUUUUAGUGUGAUGGUUGGAAAGUUUUUUCGGUGUUGGCUGAGCCCGCUGCCUAUCUGCUUGUUGGUGGGGUAAUGGCCUACCAAGGCGGCGACGGGUAGCCGGCCUGAGAGGGUGGACGGCCGCACUGGGACCUACGGGCGGCCCAGACUGCGACGGGAGGGAGCAGUGGGGAAGCUUGCACGAGCGACGCAGGCCUGAUGCAGAAGCGCCGCGGAGGGGAUGACUGCCUUCGUGUUGAAGACUACUUUCGCAAGGGACGAAGCAUGUUGUGACGGUACCUAAUCAGAAAGCAACGGCUAACUACGUG